GCGGGCGUAGCCGAACUGGUAUAGGCGCCAGACUUAGGAUCUGGUCGGCGCAAGCCGGUGGGGGUUCGAGUCCCUCCGCCCGCACCA
rnacentral:tRNA from 1 species